UCCGACGGUGAUUAAAAGGGAAUCAGGUGUGAAUCCUGAACAGACCCGCUACUGUAUGUUCCAUACAACCGACCGGAUACAAUCGGAUGUCACUGAGCGCUAUUGCGCUUGGGAAGGCAGUCCGGGAGGGGAACAAGUCAGGAGACCUGCCAUGUGUUUUAAU
rnacentral:ncRNA from 1 species